UGGGGUGUAGCCAAGUGGUAAGGCACUAGGUUUUGGCUCUAGCAUUUCGGAGGUUCGAGUCCUCCCUCCCCAG
rnacentral:tRNA from 1 species